rnacentral:rRNA from 1 species
AUGGCGGCCAUGGGAGACACCAGCAAGAUCAAGAUGAUCAUGCUAAAGACCUCAGAUGGCGAUGAGUUUGAGGUCGAGGAGGCGGUCGCCAUGGAGUCGCUGACCAUCCGCCACAUGAUCGAGAAUGAGUGCGCCGACAACGAAAUCACAAUCCCCAACGUUGAUUCCAAGAUCCUCUCCAAGGUCAUCGAGUACUGCUACAUGCACGUCCACGCCAAGCCAUGCGCUACCGUCGGUGGAGCCACCUGUGCCGUUGCGUCUGAUACCACGGCUCACGCCACCCUACCCGAGGACCUCAAGAACUGGGACGCAGAGUUCCUCAAGGUCAACCCGACCGUCCUCUACGACAUCAUCCUGGCUGCAUGCCAUCUUAACCUCGAGGGACUGGUGGACCUAAUAUCCCAGACUAUGACUGACAUGAUCAAGGGAAAAACUACGGAGGAGAUCCGCAAGAUGUUCAACCUGAAGAAUGACUUCAUGCUCGAGGAGUAG